AGCAUGUGAGAACUUUUGGCUGAUGAAUACAAGAUACGCUCAUUCAUUCUCUUCAUUGCUAUGAAAUGAGUUUUUCCACAACCUCCUGCAGAACCUCAACACAUCACUAGGUGGCAACAUCCCUACACCAUAUCGGUUUAGAAACCACGGUUAGGAGGAGCAGCAAAACACGCGGCAUCCCAGUAUGAUUCAGAAGUAAGUACAGGCAAGCUGCCGGAGUGAACGCUGAGUGAGGGAAAGGAACGCACCAUCGUUAUCAAACUCGAUCCGCGUGCAUGGCCCCCGGGCGGUGAUGUCGCAGCUGUACAGCCCUCCCGUUCUGUUGGCUCUCUGCAGUGGAAGCGCUUCUGCCCGCGGGGCCCCCACGAGCAACCUGUUGAUGAAACAGAGACAAUUUGGAGAUUUGAAUUUAAUAUACGUUUAACAGUUAAAUCAGUCAGAACUAGGAGAUAGUGGGAUUAUUCUUUGUCUAGGAGUCCACUAAUUCUUCAACAGCUUAGGCAGUGAGUGAGAACAAAUGUAGAGUCCUAUGGCUGGUUCAUGCAAAACGCACAAACACAACUAAACAGGGGAAGCCAAAGAGGGGAUACCAAAACGAGGAAAAUAGGCCUGUCUCUCAUAGUAUCAGCAUUUCUUGCUGGGUAUGAUCUGGUGUUUAAAAGACACCCUCUUCAAAGAAUACAACCUCUAAGCCCCUAUGAUGCCAGGGAUAUCAUAUGAAACUCAAGAGAAGAAACCAAAUACUUGUGACAAUGGAAGGAAAAGGUUUACAAUCUUUGAGGCCUGGCUGACUCAUGGAACAACUAGGACAAGAAACAAAGACAAAGAACACACACCUGACUGGACAGAGAUAAACCAAGAGCUGAGAGUUUUGGAAACAAGGCUGGAGCUGAGGAAAAGGACUGGGAACACGAACCUGUACAAACAACAAAUUCUUACAACAGAAAACAAGCCACUCCUGGCCAUCAAGAAACCCACAAAUCUCAGAAGCAAAAGCAAAACAAAUGAAAAUACAAACCAAAUAGUCUCUAUUACCUUCAUGCCUGUUGGGUCCCAAUAAAGGAAUCAUUCCAAUAA
rnacentral:lncRNA from 10 species